rnacentral:rRNA from 1 species
UUGAACGCUGGCGGCAGGCCUAACACAUGCAAGUCGAGCGCGAAAGUUCUUCGGAAUGAGUAAAGCGGCGGACGGGUGAGUAACGCGUGGGAAUCUACCUAGUAGUGGGGGACAACAGCCGGAAACGGCUGCUAAUACCGCAUACGCCCUACGGGGGAAAGGGGGGGAUCUUCGGACCUCUCGCUAUUAGAUGAGCCCGCGUCGGAUUAGCUAGUUGGUAGGGUAAAGGCCUACCAAGGCUACGAUCCGUAACUGGUCUGAGAGGAUGAUCAGUCACACUGGAACUGAGACACGGUCCAGACUCCUACGGGAGGCAGCAGUGGGGAAUAUUGGACAAGGGGGGCAACCCUGAUCCAGCCAUGCCGCGUGUGUGAAGAAGGCCUUAGGGUUGUAAAGCACUUUCAGUGGGGAGAAAGGUUUGUCACCUAAUACGUGAUGAAAUUGAUGUUACCCACAGAAGAAGCACCGGCUAACUCCGUGCCAGCCGCCGCGGUAA